GACGAACGCUGGCGGCGUGCCUAAUACAUGCAAGUCGAGCGGUAACGGGGAGGGAGAUUACUUUCUCUGCUGACGAGUGGCGGACGGGUGAGUAAAGCUUGGGAAUCUGGCGAAUGGAGGGGGAUAGCCACGGGAAACUGUGGGUAAUACCGCGUAACGUCUAAGGACUAAAGGGGUGGGACUGAGAGGCCACCUGCCAUUUGAUGAGCCCAAGUGGGAUUAGGUAGUUGGUGAGGUAAGGGCUCACCAAGCUGACGAUCUCUAGCUGGUCUGAGAGGAUGGCCAGCCACACUGGAACUGAGACACGGUCCAG
rnacentral:rRNA from 1 species